AUGCCUUAAACUUAUGAGUAAGGAAAAUAACGAUCCGGGGUGACGCCCGGGUCCUCACUGCGAAUGUGAGAGGAAUUUUUGCGCGGGCACAGGUCGCCCCCAGGUGACCCGCUUACUUCGCGGGAUGCCCGGGAGCCGCGAUCUGCCCG
rnacentral:snRNA from 1 species